CUGGCUACUACACGAACAUUCAUUUCUUAGUUUUAGAGCUUGUCUGAGAAGAACAAGGCCCAUGUACUACAACAGAACGAACUAGGAGAGUGUCUCAGGAGGGAGAAUUGCUGAUCACACCCUGCAAGUCCCUGAAUACUCUGGGACAAUUUGGAGAAGCUACACCAAAACUGGAUCAGUUGACAGCCAAGAGACUCAAGACAAUUUAGAGGAAUGCAGACUUCUCACUAACAGAAGAGGAAGAUUCCUUAGGAUGAUUUAAGAGUAAGAAAAUGCAAGAUGGUAUGAGGCUACUCAGAGGAAUACUUAGUGAAUAUAUGCAAAGAGGCAUCACUCCAUAUCCAAGUCUUGUAGAAAGAUGAAUACUUUGUCAAAGGGGACACUUCAUUGUGUCACUGCCAAUUAAGCUGGACAAGACACUAGAAGAUGCACAGUGAGAGAUCAGUUCCACUGACGAAUAAAUGGCAGUAUGACUGCCGUUAGAAGUUUGUUACAGAGUGAGCAAUGAACCCACUCAAAGAGAGCUUUGAUGCCAAGUCCAUUCAAAAUAUCUGUGGAAAUAAAACCUGAGAAUAUUUUGAGAAAUAACUUUUAUUUGAGCUCAUUUUGUGUGCCUGCAUAGAAGGCAAACAUUUCCUAACCCAGGGGCAAAACCAAAGCACUAAAGAAGGCCAAAGCUUCCUUUCCCCACAGCUACAGGAGGAAAAAAUAAAUAAGAAAAAGAUACCUCUGCACAAUGGUCAGUUCUAUGAUGGUUUCCGUUAGUGACACAGUCCCCCACUUCUCAAGUGAGGCCAUAACAUUUUCUCUAAUAUUCUGAAUAUCGAUUUAGAACAGCAUUCAAACCUUCACAGACAUUCAAGACAUAAUGGUAAUGAAACAAUAAUAACAAAACCUUCCAUCUGAAGCACUUCUUACAAUUUUCAAAGGGUUUUCACAUACAUUAUCUAAUUUGAUCCUCACAAUAGUUGUAAGAGAGGCACCUGUAAUGUGACAUUAUAGCUAAAAUGUUUUACCUCUAAAAUCCAUUAUGCUGCGAUCUCUAUAAUUCAUGUCCAGGAGAAAACUGAAGUACAAACAUUUAGCCUAGAAUGGUGGCCCUUUCCACUCACCUAUAAAUUGAGAGAGGAUAUCUAAGCAUUUUUCAUAUACAUUUAUACCUAAAUGGACACAAAACUGGAGUAGCAAAAC